rnacentral:rRNA from 1 species
GAUCCUGGCUCAGAUUGAACGCUGGCGGCAUGCUUUACACAUGCAAGUCGAACGGCAGCGCGGGCUUCGGCCUGGCGGCGAGUGGCGAACGGGUGAGUAAUAUAUCGGAACGUACCCAAGAGUGGGGGAUAACGUAGCGAAAGUUACGCUAAUACCGCAUACGAUCUAAGGAUGAAAGCAGGGGAUCGCAAGACCUUGUGCUCCUGGAGCGGCCGAUAUCUGAUUAGCUAGUUGGUGGGGUAAAGGCCCGCCAAGGCAACGAUCAGUAGCUGGUCUGAGAGGACGACCAGCCACACUGGAACUGAGACACGGUCCAGACUCCUACGGGAGGCAGCAGUGGGGAAUUUUGGACAAUGGGGGCAACCCUGAUCCAGCAAUGCCGCGUGAGUGAAGAAGGCCUUCGGGUUGUAAAGCUCUUUCGGACAGAAAGAAAUCGCAUCGGCUAAUACUCGAUGUGGAUGACGGUACUGUCAUAAGAAGCACCGGCUAACUACGUG